CCUUUCUCCUUCCUCCCGCUGGCGGCGUGCCUAAUACAUGCAAGUCGAACGAACCGCGACUAGGUGCUUGCACUUGGUCAAGGUGAGUGGCGAACGGGUGAGUAACACGUGGGUAACCUACCUCAUAGUGGGGGAUAACAGUCGGAAACGACUGCUAAUACCGCAUAGGACAUGGGAUCACAUGAUUCUGUGAGGAAAGGUGGCGCAAGCUAUCGCUAAGAGAUGGACCCGCGGUGCAUUAGCUAGUUGGUAGGGUAACGGCCUACCAAGGCGAUGAUGCAUAGCCGACCUGAGAGGGUGAUCGGCCACAUUGGGACUGAGACACGGCCCAAACUCCUACGG
rnacentral:rRNA from 1 species